CCUACGGGAGGCAGCAGUGAGGAAUAUUGGUCAAUGGACGAGAGUCUGAACCAGCCAAGUAGCGUGAAGGAUGACUGCCCUAUGGGUUGUAAACUUCUUUUAUAUGGGAAUAAAAUGUUCCACGUGUGGGAUUUUGUAUGUACCAUAUGAAUAAGGAUCGGCUAACUCCGUGCCAGCAGCCGCGGUAAUACGGAGGAUCCGAGCGUUAUCCGGAUUUAUUGGGUUUAAAGGGAGCGUAGGUGGAUUGUUAAGUCAGUUGUGAAAGUUUGCGGCUCAACCGUAGAAUUGCAGUUGAAACUGGCAGUCUUGAGUACAGUAGAGGUGGGCGGAAUUCGUGGUGUAGCGGUGAAAUGCUUAGAUAUCACGAAGAACUCCGAUUGCGAAGGCAGUUCACUGGACUGCAACUGACACUGAGGCUCGAAAGUGUGGGUAUCAAACAGGAUUAGAUACCCGUGUAGUC
rnacentral:rRNA from 1 species